ACCCAUCACGGGGCCUGAGCGCCUCACAGACACUGCGACAGAUGAGGCUUUGACAUCAGAGAGGGGGGACCGGCCCCUGUCACGUGGACAGUUAGGACCCGGCUGGCAGUCCCGGUCGGGAAUGUCCGAGUCUGAAGCCCGCUGCCACCUGUCCCUUCUCCAUGGUGGUUUUCAUCACUCCACAGACAUAACUGCCCAGGAUCAUUUCUGACCAACGUCCCACGGGCGGCCCGGCCACUGGACGUGUUUGGAAAUCGUGGCACACGGUGUCAGGAGUGAGCCUGCCGGAGAGCAGCCAACACGCCCGGGACACAGUGCCGCGUCUCGCAGUGGGGCCGUCUCAUCCCUCAGGCCGUCCUAGCAAACACGCCGCUGACCGGGUGCCUCUGGACAAGACACUGGCCUCUCGCAGUUCCGGCAGCUGGAGGUCUGAGAUCGCCGACAGGGUCAGCAUCCAGGAGGCCAUUCUGGUUCCCAGAGCCGUCUCCGCGCUGGGUCCUCACGUGGUGCCAGGGUCGGGGUGUCCGGGGUCUCUUGUAAGGGGGCUCAUCCUAUUCGUAAAGGCUUCACCCCAUGACCUAAUCCCUUCCCAAAGGCCCCUCUGAACACCCUCACGCUGGAGAGGAAGGUCACGGCAUAAUAAAUGUGGGGACAGUUAUUCAGUCUGUCCGGGGAACCAAGGCCAGCUGAGGCCUCUGACUGCAAAUCUGGUCGUCUCGAGGGAAUGUCUUUGGGUUUCUGUCAUCUGGAAUCUCGGGCGCCUCCUGGGAGGUGCGUGGGGCCUGCAGGUGGCGGGGUGGGCGUCUAACCAGGGGAAGCCGUCGGCUGCCUCUACUCCUCCCCGCUCCCAGGGAGAGCAGGAGACCGCCGUCUGCCCGUCUUCACCCGCAGGCUCGAGCUUCCCUUCGUGCUCCCCUUCCUGCAGAGGGGCCGUCCCGGCGUCCGUGUCCCAGAGGAGAGGCACUGGGCCGCGGAUUGCUGUCAGUGAUUAUCAACCACUGCGUCGUUAAACCUGGGCUUCGUGGGGUCAGGACUGAGGUGUAAUUACUUCUGGGGAAUACUAACUCCGUGGAAAGGGGAAAUCCAGCUUAAAAGAGUAGCUUCUACAAACGAUCAGGAAAUGUGCCUGCGAUGGUUCACUCGUGCCGGUCACUGUGGCUAUGAUCUGCGGAAGGACGCGUAGUUGGGCCCGUGGGCCGUGUCAGCAGGGACCCGUUAGCAGACCUCUGGGUGAAGGCAUUGGAGAGACAGGACAGAGGACCUGGCUGCAGGCUUCUAGAAGCUUCCUCCGCAGUUCUGUGAAAGUACAUCCGGAAGAUCUACGACACGAGGCCAGCGGGGCAGGACACACGCCGUGUGAACGGAACAGAUGCCGCGGAGGGUGAGCUAACCCCGAGCUGGGUCCUUGGGACACCAAGGCAGGACGCCCGGGGCAGCAGAAUUGUUGGGGCAAGGACAUGGGGGCGGGGGUGGGGUAGGGAAGCCGCAGGGCAGGAGCCGGGAAUGGGGCAGAGCUUGUGAAGGAGCGCGGAGAGCCCGCAGAGGAGCUGAGGGGCUGCCCUGACCCUGGCAGGUCCUGGAAGUCGGGCGGGAAGGGGUCAGCAAAGCGGGUUUCCCAGAUGAGAGUCCAGCUGUUCUGCCGCCUGCCGGGCUCGGAGCUCGGCCGCUGCUCGGUCGGGGGCAGGGGACCCUGGAGGAGGCACGGCAGGGUGGAGAGGGAAGCGCCAGGACCCCGGGCGACGAUGGGGGUGGGGGGCUCAGGCCGGCGAAGGUGGGUCGCGGGCUGACUGCUGCCCACCACGGAUCGUCGGGAGGUGUCGCAGGGGCUGGCCGGGUGCGAGGAGACAGUGUGGCCAGGCUGAGAUUCUGCCGGGAAUGGAGGAAAGGCCAUGGGAGACGCCUGGCCACAAAGCUCAGAGCGCCGAGCCCCGCUGAGGAUUGUUUCACCAGAGCCGUGUGUCCCCCGGGAACAUCCGUGAGCUCCCGCGGGCGGGCACUCGGCACACGCACGGAGUGGGGUGUGAGGCCUCCGUGGUGCGGGUUCGGGGGUGUUGUUUACGGUGACCGGAGAUUUCCUAGGGCGGGUCUGCUCCCGCGGCUGUCCCCUGCAGCUGUCCCCGCGCCUCUGGGCUGCCCGUCCACCUUCACCUCUAUGCAUUGGUUCGUUUAUUCGACAACUAUUCCCGGAGCACCUCCUGCGGCGAGGGGAAGUGGCCGAGGGCUGGGGGUACCGUGGCAAGUGGGGGAAACCCCUGACCUCCCUCCUCCUCCUGCCGGGCACCACGGCCACUGAAGGGCCCGCCUGGACGGGGCAGCGAGCGUGGGGCCAGGUCCCAUGAGGCGCUUCAGCACACGGGCGUCUCUGGGGACCUCACGCGUCUCGCUCACUGGCCGGUGUCCCCACAUGUCUCUGCUUUCCCUGCGACAUUCUGUUUCACGCCUGGAGCAGAGAAUGUGCCCCUCCCAGUCUCCAUGGUCUCCAUGGUCUCCAGCACAGAAAACACUUAAAUCUCUGGACACAAAACCUCCCAGAGACUCUCAGAAGGUCAAGACCCACAGCUUGUCCUCACCCUUCUGCGUGUCCAGAGGAGCGGGCUGUGUGAGCGAACGGGCGCCCCCGCCACGGGCCGCUCCUCCAUGGAAACAGGCCAGCUCAGCCCAGGGUCGCUCCGGCCCUCUGCAGUCAAGGCUGCGAGCAAAGGCAGGAAGGAGGCAGCCAAUGGAAGAGAAAAUUGUGUGUUGUGACAUAACAUGCAGAAAGCCACACGCUGUACUUUCUCAUCUCAGCGCCGGAAUGGCGACCUUGGGAUUUUACGCCCACGUCCAGGAAGCGUCAGGCUGGAAUUCUGGCGCUCGGCUCCCGGAUGAGGAUGCCCUUCCUUCUCGCUCCGUGGUCCUGCACCUGCUGCCCGGUGUCCGCCAGCGGUGCGGUUGGCGCUGAGCCCCUGGAUCCAGCCUCAAAUGAUGUCGGAGCUGAGGUCGCUGACCAGAUUCACCCCGAGUCCUUUUGACGCUGCUCUGGCCGAUCCCACCCCCUGGGAGCUGUCCGGUGGGGCAGCGUCCUGCUGGUGCGGACGUCUCGCCAGGCUCCUUUUUCUUGCUCCUCCUGCUCUGUGAGGCCUGCUGGUCAGCACUGCUGGACCAGGGUCUCCCCUCUUUGCCCCACAGGGACCAGCAGCAGGAACCCAAAAGGGCAGCAUAGCCACGAGCUGCGUGGGGUGAGCUGUGCUCUGUGAUUUCAGUGUUUCCUCCUGUCAUUUCCCACUGGUCCUCCCAGCAAGCCCGGGCAGGCAGACGGAGCAGGUGCACUCACACUCAUCCGAAAGGUCACCAAAAGCCUCCUAUGGGUCCACGUCAGUGCAGAGUGGGCGCUGGGCCUCCCACUCUGGAACCGCCGGGGGCGGGUUGGCUGUGCAGGGUCCCGGGCUCUUCCUCCAGUCGUGGCUCGUCUGCGGUCCAGCAGGGACCCAGGGAUGCUGCACUCAAUGCCCUCCGACAAGUGUGGCUUUGGGGGUCCAGAGCCGGGACUUUCCAUGGCCCCCCGCAACCACCCUGUCCUUCCAAUGGAAAGUUCAGUAUUUCCCCAGCUCCACGCUCUCCCGGUGAGGCAGCUCGGGACUCGUGUCUAGCUCUGGGCCAUAGAACCAAGUAGACUCACAGCCCGGGAAGACUGAGAGCAACCAGCAGGGACAGGCAGGGAGGGGCGGGUGGGACCGGCAGCAGAACCCACAGGCAGGGGCAUCGGUGCGUGAGGGUCCAGGAGAGACGGCGGAGUCCUGGGUUCGAAUCCCGGUUCGAUGGAGCACUGGCUUCACCGGACUCAGCUUCCCUUCCCUGCCCUGUGGAAUGCGGGCGGCAUCAGGGAGCGGCAGGCCAGUCGGCUCAGCACUGGCAUGGAAGUGUGUCUGGCGCGCAGUAAGGUUUCAGAGGCCUCCCGCCUUCAGUCCCCAUGGGGCAGGCGAGAGGCGCUGGGUGCUGGCAGGGAGCCGCUCGUCCACAGGCUGGGGGAGGCCCGCUUCUCACCCCUCCCGCUUCUCACCCCUCCCGCUUCUCACCCCUCCCGCUUCUCACCCCUCCCCCUUCCUCACCUCCUCCUGCGCGUCGGUGGCUUCGUCCAGCGUGGACCUGGCUGUCCCUGUCAGUGGGGGUGGGAAGACAGCGGCUGAUCACACAGCGCUGGAAUCUGCAGGAAAGGGCACCGCUCUGGGACCACGUCCGCUCUCGGGCACCCCUGCAAGGCCAGCGGACGUGGGACCGCAGCCUCGUUUCCAAAGCAGAAUGAUCACGACGUGACACCCCCGGCAGUGACUCUCGGCAGUGCGGCGGAGGAAGGGGCUGGGCAGAGCUUUGCAGACCUGCCGGGGGAAGAGCCAGCCCUGCCCGACUCAGGCUCCUAGGCCAGACCCCCGGCCAGACCCCCACCCCCAUCCCCCGGAGAGCCCCGUGCUGCAGAGGCGGUGGAGGAGGACAGGGCUCGGGGCCAGGCCCGCAUGGCGGCUCCCGUGGGUGGCCUGGGUGUCUCUGCAGCAGCUGGGAGGGGGAUGGUGCUAGCGGCUGUAGUAAACACACCCCAGCUUUUUCCUCCCGUGGAGCUGGCGGAUUGCAACGUUCUGGCUGGUGGGCGACUUCACACGCCGUGACUCGGGCCCGGGGCUCCGGUGGCAAAUGGCUCUGCUGGCGCCCUUCAGCUUACUGCCAGGCUUUAUCUUUUUGGGGCUGUAUCCCCUUUUGGCAGCCCGAGGAAUGGGCUUUUCUCAGAAUAAUUGUCCUUAAACACAUACAGUAAAGCACCGAGGUUAGCCCGGAGUGAGACCUGAAACUCGGCUUCUACCGGUAGCAGCAUUGCCGGUCCUGACGCAGCUGCUGGGUUUCUCGCCCGCGCUCACGGGCACAGGAAAUACAGGGUGUCCGGGAGGUUGCUAGAAACAGAGAGGUCAUUCUUUUCCCCACUUGGGCUCACAGAACCCCGCCCCGCCCCCGAAUUGUAACCCCAGGGUUUGACGGCCAGCCAGCAGUCGGACAGAGGAGGCAGAGCUGGCUUGGUCACACCUGAGGCCUCUGCUGGGAAGGACAGACACCAGCCACCCUUGCCAGUGCCACGAUGCAUCGUGCUAGUGCAUGGGGACAGGCUUUGUGUCUGACCCCACGUCUCUGGCUUCAGUGUCCCGUGUCUGCUGUGCCCUGAAACACUGACCCUUGCCGGUGGAUGGAGCAUCUUCUGAACCCUGGGAGGAAAGCUUGGAUUUGGGCUCUGCUUGUGGCGUGCUACAAAUCCCCCUGCGGGUGCUGUCAACGAGCAGGGCUCUGCCUUCAGGAGGCUCCGGCUAGAGAUGCUGCUGGAAGGGAAGCAGGUCUGCAGGGACAGACCAAAACAUGGUCCUGUGUCCUGGCUCCAGCAGCCCCCGAAACAGAGACCAGUGCCUCGGGGAACAGGAGCGGCCUGCGGCCCCUCUGUGCUCCCUCCUCCACCAGUUCUGUCUGUCCGUCUGCACGAGGCAUGACUUGGGGGCUGGACCUUCCACAGGUGGGAAUUGCUGGGGGAAGAACCUGGUUGGUCCUCUGGGCAUCCGGCAUCUUCUGCCCACGGCAUCUGUGAGGUGAACACGUGAAGCUCUGCCUGCACGGGGAGAGGCGCUUGUCAAAGUGAAGGUGAUGCCGAUGGCCCUGGGCCCGGCUGGGAACAGGAGUGUUCACAGUUCCUCCCGCGUCAGCCGCACCGGAAGAGCCAGCUUGUCAGCCCGGACAAUGGAGAUGUCGCUCACAGCAGGUGCGGCGUGUGCUGCUUUGCUCAGGCUGUCGGAACACGUUACCUCACCAGGGGGCUGACGGCACAGGCACUGACAGCGCUGGAGGCCAGGACCCCAAAGUCACGUGUCAGCACGCUGUGCCCUUUCUCACGGCGGCCUUGUCCAGCUUCUGGUGGCUCCAGGCGCUUCUUGUCUGUGGCCAUGUGCCUCCCACACCAGCCUCCACCUCAGCCUGGCCUCCCCGGUGACUAAGCUCUCUCUUCUUCUCAGACACCCAGCAUCGGAUUGGGCCCACGCUGACCUAGCCUGGCUUCACCUUACCACGUCUGCAGAUACCCUGCCUGUUUCCUGAGAGGGACACACCCGCAGUUUGCAGGCCAACGUGACUUGGGUGUGGGACACCCUUCAGCCCAGUCACAACACCCAUGCCAGUGUCCAGUCACCCCCGUGUGUGCACACACCCAGGCGCCAAGGUUUCUGUCCUCCGAACUGAGCUCAAGCUGCCCAGUCUUGAAAAGGAUAAAAAUAUGCUGCCCAGUCCUUCUUUGGCCCUGCCUCAGUUUCCCAGGUCACCCUCAAAGUGGACGUCCUGCUUUGAGAGGAAAAUGAGCAAUCGUGAUGAGGAAGCUAUUUCAGGGACCAAAGACGAAAUGAAACAUCACGGGAGGCGGAGUCGGUCUACACCGUCGUCCUCCAUCUCCAAAGCCAGCUGCGGCCUCUCUGGCCUCACCGCGCUCCACUGUGACUUCUUUUCUUCCCGCCUCCGCUUUGAAGGGCAGGGGCGACAGUGGCCCACCCGGUGAUUCAGGAAGACUUCCCUCUUCGCGGUGAGCCCAUGAGCACCCCGGAUGCCUCCUCACCACGUAAGCCAGCGGAGUCAGGGUUCCGGUUCCUGCAAACCCUUCGGGGAGCGCUGUCCUGUGUGCCCUGUCCUCAGCGCGGCCCCGAGACGCAUCGUGCUGCCCACGUUGGUCGGAGAGCGGGCAGCUGCGUUGAUCCGCGCCCUCGGCGGGCUGCUGGACUCUCCCCGUCUGGGCCGUUUUGACAGUGUCGUUCAAGGCUUGGGAUGAGACAGGGGUCAUUUCUUGAGUCAGGACGUAGGAUUGGGACGCUGCAUCAGAGAAAGAGUGUGUCUUUCAUUUUUUAAAGAAACGGCAGAGCUUUUCCCCAAAGUGGUGAUGUCAUUUAUCCUCCCAACAGCAACGUGCAGGAGCUCCGGUUCCUCUGCCUGCCUGCGGACACGUGGCAGCGCUGAUCUUUUAAUUGUAGGAAUUCCGAAAGGAAAUGCAGUUAUUCCAACACCAUUUGUUGAAGGGAUUGUCUCUUCCUCUGGGGAGCGCUUUGGCAUUUUUGUUGAAAAUUGGGAGACUGCAUCAGUAAAGUUAUGUCUUCUGUUUCAUCAUCUUGGCCAUUGCAC